rnacentral:rRNA from 1 species
CCUACGGGUGGCAGCAGUGGGGAAUAUUGGACAAUGGGCGAAAGCCUGAUCCAGCCAUGCCGCGUGUGUGAAGAAGGCCUUCGGGUUGUAAAGCACUUUCAGUGGGGAAGAAAGCCUUGGGGCUAAUACCCUCGAGGAAGGACAUCACCCACAGAAGAAGCACCGGCUAACUCCGUGCCAGCAGCCGCGGUAAUACGGAGGGUGCGAGCGUUAAUCGGAAUUACUGGGCGUAAAGCGCGCGUAGGCGGUCUGAUAAGCCGGUUGUGAAAGCCCCGGGCUCAACCUGGGAACGGCAUCCGGAACUGUCAGGCUAGAGUGCAGGAGAGGAAGGUAGAAUUCCCGGUGUAGAGGUGAAAUGCGUAGAGAUCGGGAGGAAUACCAGUGGCGAAGGCGGCCUUCUGGACUGACACUGACGCUGAGGUGCGAAAGCGUGGGUAGCAAACAGGAUUAGAUACCCUUGUAGUC